rnacentral:ncRNA from 2 species
GACGGGCGCACCGACUAAGGUGCGCCCGUUUUCGUUCGAGGUAACGGGAAGCAGGUGAAAGACCUGCGCUGCCCCCGCAACGGUAACCGACGCGCCCCUUAAGGAGCGCAGCAUCGCCAUCCGCCACUGCUGAAUGCGGGAAGGCGGCGAUGUGACGUCGGCAGCCCGGAGACCGCCCUCGACGCGAUCCGACAG